UACUUGGCUCAGGAUGAACGCUAGCGGCAGGCUUAACACAUGCAAGUCGAGGGGCAUCGGGAGUAGCAAUACUGCCGGCGACCGGCGCAAGGGUGCGUAACGCGUGAGCAACAUGCCCGUAUCAGGGGGAUAAUCCAUGGAAACGUGGUCUAAUACCCCAUAGUAAUUAUGUAAGGCAUCUUAUAUAAUUUAAAGCUUUGGUGGAUACGGAUUGGCUCGCGUGACAUUAGCUAGAUGGUAAGGUAACGGCUUACCAUGGCUACGAUGUCUAGGGGUUCUGAGAGGAAGGUCCCCCCACACUGGAACUGAGACACGGUCCAGACUCCUACGGGAGGCAGCAGUGAGGAAUAUUGGACAAUGGAUGGAAAUCUGAUCCAGCCAUGCCGCGUGCAGGAAAAGACGGCCCUAUGGGUUGUAAACUGCUUUUGUAUGGGAGCAAUAAGGGCUACGCGUAGUCCGAUGAGAGUACCAUACGAAUAAGCACCGGCUAACUCCGUGCCAGCCGCAGC
rnacentral:rRNA from 1 species